CAGCCGCCGCGGUAAUACCGGCGGCCCGAGUGGCGGCCACUAUUAUUGGGCCUAAAGCGUCCGUAGCCGGGCUGGUAAGUCCUCCGGGAAAUCUGGUCGCUUAACGAUCAGACUUCCGGAGGAUACUGCUGGCCUGGGGACCGGGAGAGGCCGAGGGUAUUCCCGGGGUAGGGGUGAAAUCCUGUAAUCCCGGGAGGACCACCUGGGGCGAAGGCGCUCGGCUGGAACGGGUCCGACGGUGAGGGACGAAGGCCAGGGGAGCGAACCGGAUUAGAGACCCGGGUAGUCCUGGCUGUAAACGAUGCGGACUAGGUGUCGGGCAAGCUAAGGGCUGGUCCGGUGCCGCAGGGAAGCCGUUAAGUCCGCCGCCUGGGGAGUACGGCCGCAAGGCUGAAACUUAAAGGAAUUGGCGGG
rnacentral:rRNA from 1 species